rnacentral:rRNA from 1 species
GAUGAACGCUGGCGGCGUGCCUAAUACAUGCAAGUCGAGCGAAGCGGGGACGGGCGAGUAACACGUGGAUAACCUCCUAUAAGACUGGGAUAACUUCGGGAAACCGGAGCUAAACCGAAUACUAGUAGAUGGAUCCUCGCUGCAUUAGCUAGUUGGUAAGGUAGCGGCUUACCAAGGCAACGAUGCAUAGCUGACCUGAGAGGGUGGUGGGCCACACGUGAACGGAGCCACGGUCCAUCCUCCACCGGGAGGCAGCAGUAGGGAAUCUUCCGCAAUGGGCGAAAGCCUGACGUAGCAACGCCGCGUGAGUGAUGAGGGUCUUCGUAUCGUAAACCUCUGUUAUUAGGGAAGCGGUACCUAAUCAGAAAGCCACGGCUAACUACGUGCCAGCAGCCGCGGUAAUAC